GUAAACAAAGUAGUAUUUUUCUGUUCAAGGAGCUAGAGUAAACACAGUAGUAUUUUUCUGUUCAAGGAGCUAGAGUAAACACAGUAGUAUUUUUCUGUUCAAGGAGCUAGAGUAAACACAGUAGUAUUUUUCUGUUCAAGGAGCUAGAGUAAACACAGUGGUAUUUGUCUGUUCAAGGAGCUAGAGUAAACACAGUGGUAUUUUUCUGUUCAAGGUGCUAGAGUAAACAGUAGUAUUUUUCUGUUCAAGAUGCUAGAGUAAACAGUAGUAUUUUUCUGUUCAAGGUGCUAGAGUAAACACAGUAGUAUUUUUCUGUUCAAGGAGCUAGAGUAAACACAGUAGUAUUUUUCUGUUCAAGGUGCUAGAGUAAACACAGUAGUAUUUUUCUGUUCAAGGUGCUAGAUUAAACACAGUAGUAUUUUUCUGUUCAAGGUGCUAGAGUAAACACAGUAGUAUUUUUCUGUUCAAGGUGCUAGAGUAAACACAGUAGUAUUUUUCUGUUCAAGGUGCUAGAUUAAACACAGUAGUAUUUUUCUGUUCAAGUGCUAGAUUAAACACAGUAGUAUGUUUCUGUUCAAGGUGCUAGAGUAAACACAGUAGUAUUUUUCUGUUCAAGGUGCUAGAUUAAACACAGUAGUAUUUUUCUGUUCAAGUGCUAGAUUAAACACAGUAGUAUGUUUCUGUUCAAGGUGCUAGAUUAAACACAGUAGUAUGUUUCUGUUCAAGGUGCUAGAUUAAACACAGUAGUAUGUUUCUGUUCAAGGUGCUAGAGUAAACACAGUAGAUAGCCACCUUCUAAAGCUCUGCUAUUAAACGGAUUAAACUGCUAUUAAACUUAUUACAUCAUUAUC